UACGGAGGGUGCAAGCGUUAUCCGGAUUCACUGGGUUUAAAGGGUGCGUAGGUGGGUAGGUAAGUCAGUGGUGAAAUCCCCGAGCUUAACUUGGGAACUGCCGUUGAUACUAUCUAUCUUGAAUAUCGAGUAGGUAAGCGGAAUAUGUCAUGUAGCGGUGAAAUGCUUAGAUAUGACAUAGAACACCAAUUGCGAAGGCAGCUUACUUCAAGAUUAUUGACACUGAGGCACGAAAGCGUGGGGAUCAAACGGG
rnacentral:rRNA from 1 species